rnacentral:rRNA from 1 species
AAGUGCACAAGGGAGCUUGACUGUGAGAGUGGCAGCUCGAGCAGGGACGAAAGUCGGGACUAGUGAUCCGGCGGCUCGUUGUGGAACGGCCGUCGCUCAACGGAUAAAAGGUACCUCGGGGAUAACAGGCUGAUCUUGCCCAAGAGUCCAUAUCGACGGCAUGGUUUGGCACCUCGAUGUCGGCUCGUCGCAUCCUGGGGCUGGAGUAGGUCCCAAGGGUUGGGCUGUUCGCCCAUUAAAGCGGUACGCGAGCUGGGUUCAGAACGUCGUGAGACAGUUCGGUCCCUAUCCUCUGCGCGCGUGUGAAAUUUGAGAAGGUCUGUCCUUAGUACGAGAGGACCGGGACGGACGAACCUCUGGUAUGUCAGUUGUACCGCCAGGUGCAUGGCUGAUUAGCUACGUUCGGGAUGGAUAACCGCUGAAAGCAUCUAAGCGGGAAGACG